UGAGAAACUUCCGGAACCACCCGUUUUGGCACAUUUUGGAACCGAGGCCCCGGCCUUUUUUUUUAUUUUUUUUUGGGUGGCCCCCGGGCCCUGGGGGGGUCCCUGGGGGGGUGGGGGCCUGGGGAAAGGUAUGAGUGGAUACGACCAUACUUGGCUGAAAACACCAUAUCCCGUCCGAUUUGUGAAGUUAAGCAGCUACAGGCCCGGCUAGUACUGAGGUCAGUGAUGACUCGGGAACCCUCGGUGCCGUAUCCCCACUUUUUUUUGGGUCCUCCAAAAUCGUCUCCCCCACACCACACACAGGCGCCGCCGCGGCCCCGCCACGCAGCGUGACGCAAUGCCGCCAAACACCCCCCCAAAUGCACUUUCCACUGCACACUGCUUUUAACUAACGCUAUUAUUGUUACAGUUUCUGUACUUUAUUG
rnacentral:misc_RNA from 1 species